AUGGUAAAUGUAAUUUUUUCUAAGGGGCUUUCAUAUAUCUUAUUUUAUGUUGGUCUAGGCUUCUAGCUGUUACCUUGUUCUUGGUGAAAUUGGCAAAGCAUCACUACAUUUCAAGAGACGGUUGCAGUCAACUGACAUUUGUAUGGAGCGGAAAAUUAUUCUAGAAGCUUUUGUUGGCCUACAAAAGGCUCAGCAAGAAGACGAGGAGAUGCCUGUGCCCCAUUCUGAUGUCGUCACCAAUGGGUGGAAGAGUAAGUUCAAGCUCAAUUCUGUCUAGUUGAGGAGGAGAUCAGACUAAAUACUUCUUCUAGGUACCUCUUCUCGUAGUUGGGCUGCAUCUGUUCUUCAAUAUUGGAGUAGGUAUAUGAGAAGAAAACAAGCCCAAAGUGGCGUUUUGACCUUGGAGAAAAGAAAAUUUUUCAGCAGGUUAGUAUGUUUGUGUGUCUGAAAUCAUUCUACAGUGAGUUUCAAAACUGACGAUGUAUGCAAGUAUUGCCAUGUUUUCUAGAUUUUUUUUCAUUACAUUAUGCUUAGCAGCUUGAGCAUAUACAAUGUUUUUACUGCAUUAAUACAUAAGAAUGGGUUCGAUAUAGGUUUCAUGUUAAACAGAAUGAUACCUUCUGCUGCAAUAUUAGGAAAUCUAAGCUUUUGCAGAAUAUAAGUAAAUGUUUGAUGUUUACCGGGUGUUUGGAACGGACAAGAAGUAUUGGCUUAAUCCCACAUAUGCAGGUUAAGGUCUACGAAGGAUGCCAAAACUUCAGGGUCUAGAUUAUCCAUCAAAGACUGACCUUGACGCACAAGAAUUUUAAGACGUGUUGGUUUAAUAUCUUUGGCAUUCAGAAGUGUUCCUUGAACAAUAGAUUCUUAGGGAGAGAAAUUUGAGGUUAGGGUUUGGGAAUUUGGGGGAAAAUAAGAAAAUAUGAAAUGGGAUGUACUAAAUGUCUGAAUGUAACAAGUAGAAAAAAAUAAAAAAAAAUUAGGAGGGUUAGGACUCGAACCAAGACCUCUAACUAGGAGUGAAUUCUGCAUUUCUGCUAAAAAUUACCAAUGCGCCAAUAUUCAGCAUUUGAUUAUUUCCUCACAAAUAUUUCUUUUAACCAUUUUCUGUUUUUUUUAAAUAAAAUAAAUUAAAACUUAUAAUUUUUUUUCAAAAAAUCUGUGGGUUCAAUGAGCCCUCGUGAACCCUGAUUAG